rnacentral:rRNA from 1 species
UAACCCUGUUCCAGCGACGCCGCGUGAGUGAAGAAGUAUUUCGGUAUGUAAAGCUCUAUCAGCAGGGUAAGAAAAUGACGGUACCUGACUAAGAAGCCCCGGCUAACUACGUGCCAGCAGCCGCGGUAAUACGUAGGGGGCAAGCGUUAUCCGGAUUUACUGGGUGUAAAGGGAGCGUAGACGGCACUGCAAGUCUGGAGUGAAAGCCCGGGGCUCAACCCCGGGACUGCUUUGGAAACUGUGGUGCUAGAGUGCANGAGAGGUAANUGGAAUUCCUAGUGUAGCGGUGAANUGCGUAUAUAUUAGGAGGA